rnacentral:lncRNA from 1 species
AUUAAAGGCAAACCGUACAAUCUGACCCACUAGAGCAUCACAUCUUCAUUUUUUCCUUUUGGUUUCCUUGAGGAAGCCAACGAGGAUAAUUAAUUGUAGUGGCUUUGGACAAAAUGGGUCUUCGUCAUUUGAACAUCCAAACUCAUUCAGUACCAUUGUCUUUAAUUUGUCACAUGCUGCACCAUACAGAACAUUAAAAUUCAGAAGAAACACCAGACCCCAUGACAGAAAAUAUUAGGUUUGGACACCAUUUUAAUAUAGGGAAGAAAAACAUGAACUGAAAACAAGAGCUCUAACCGUCUUAUUACUCCAACCCAAAAUAUCACAUCUAACUAUGUAAGUGUAAGAUGUUCACCCACCUUUUGAGGUUGAGAAUUUCUUGUAAUUAUUAAAAUUCUAACCCGGAAAAAGAGAGAGUAUAAUAAUAAUAAUGUUUUUUUAUUUAAUUGAGAUUCAUAAAAUAGAUAAUUUUUUUAAAUAAAUUUUAUAUUAAUAAAUAUAUAUAUUUUAUAGUAUCAAAAUAUUUCUUUCAGUUUUAUUAUUUCUAUUUUAAUUUAUCUCUUAUGUUUUCUAUUCGGAUGAAAUAAAUUCUUUAGUGAAUUUCAACUAAGUAUAGUGCUAAUAUAUUCAUAUUUAAUGUUAAGAGCUAAAGAAAUAUAAAAUUACUAUUAAUAUUUCUUUUGGAAUUAUUAGUGGAAUAUAACAUAUUUUAUAUUAAAGAAUGACUCAUAUGAUAUUACAGUAGAAAAAUGUAUACAAAAAAAAUUGUAAUUUAUUGACCGACAAAAUAAACCCAUUGUAAUUGAAAUUUGUGUUGUGUCGUAUUUUAAACUUACUUUGAUUUGAUGCACCAAAUGAUAUCAUUGAUCUGCCUAUGCCUUCCAUAUUACAUAUAAUUUCUGCUGUGACUAAAUUGAGGUAAAG